UGGCAUAAACUAUUUUUAACUUAUUUCCUGCUCUUUUCUUACAGCCUUCCUUUAAUUUCCUUUGCUUGUCAGUCUUUUUCUGCAUUUUGGAUGAAAACGGUUAUCCUGCCAGGAAAUAAUGAAAUUUUUCAUCGACCAAUCUUUCCUUUCAUUUUCAAAGUGUUAAAAUACUUUCUUCGAGCUUGUUGCAUGAAAUUAUUCAACAAUAACUGAUGUACUACAGUAAAAAAAAAAACAACUUUAGGUACUGCUCUUUUUUUGGAUAGAUCUGGAUCUUGGAAAUAAUUUACUGGGUGAGGGAUUCUGAUAGGCAGAACUGCAUGCGAUAAGAAAUGGGAGGAGUAUUUGAUUAUUUGCAAAAAGCAAUGCUUCUACCAAUCUAAUGGUCCAAAAACAUGCGAAUACAAGUCGUUAAAUAGGUACCACUUUAGUAGGGAGGUAACAGCAUUCCAUGCACCUUGGCAUAUAGUCAUCCUGGCCACAUGACCACAGAAAUGUCAAUGGACAAUGUUGGCUCUCUUUGUUAGGAAACAGAGAAGAGCACUGCCCCUAGAGCUGGACAUGACUGGACAGAGGAAAACUUUACCAUUGACUUUUAAAGUGGCUCUACAAAAUAACAGUUGGAAGGGACCUUGGAGGUCUUCUAAACCACCCCCCUGCUCAGGCAGGAGAUCCUAUCCCAUUUCAGAAAGAUGGCUGUUCGAUCUCUUCUUAAAAACCACUCUGCCUUGCCAGGGACUUAGGGGUUUUGGAGUUCUUCCAAAAUCUGGGGAAUGGUGUGUUGAAUUCCUGGGGAAGGCGGUGGCAGUUAAAGUUCAUACAUCUGAAAAGUUUAGUUUUGUUUUUUCAAGAAUUUGAAAGUUAAGACAGACCAAAGCUACUUUCGUUUUCUUUAAAGGAAAUAAUUGACAUCAGCAGGAAACUGGGAGUCUGAUAGGCCAAGCUGCUUGUGAUAGAAAACGGAAGGAAUUUUUUACUAUUUGUGGGGCACACAGCACACAGCAUUUAAGGGUUCACUAUAUAAAGGGGUUCAGUCCUUCUCUCAAGGAGACUGGGGACAUCGGACAGAGACCAGUCCCAACCUGCAUGGACAUCUUUGAGAAUUACUCCUUUUAUUAAAGCAAAACCUCCCUGCCAGACAAUUGUGUUUCUUGAAGAAGAGAUCACUGUUUUUCUAACUUCUGUGCCUAACUCAUCAUCAUGCAGCUUCUCCUGGGGCUUUGCUUCUUCUCCGUCCUCCUGACUACAGGUAGUUCCGUACAGUGUUCACAUUGUAUUUCACUUUAUGUACCUUGCUCUGGUGCAAAGGAAGAAUGUCCUGCUGGGGCUGAUGUCUGUAUGAAUUUCAGUUUGCAACAUAAAGAAAAGAAAGAGAUACAUGCCAACUUUGAAACUUGCGCUACAAAAAAGUAUUGUAAGAAAGUGGAAGAUCUGAUAGGGAAGCCUUCCCCUGAAGUCAUGGCUGCCAUACCUGGUUUCCCAGGAGACGUUACAAUUAAAGAGGUCAUCUGCAGCAAAGCCCCUCCCUCCUUUGCAUCGUUCUUCCCAGCAUUCCUUGGGCUCCUCCUGAUGAAGCUUCUCUUCUAAAGCUCCUCCUUCCACCCAAGAAGUUGUCCCCUUUCCUUGGCCUGUACAUCCUCUCAAACUGAUGAGGCAGGAUCUUUGAUAUGAUGCUUAAUCUUUUCCCAAACAGAAACCAGUUAAGCAGAAAGAAAUAUAAUCAGCAGCUUUGAAUGUGUGUUUGAACUAAAAAAAGAUGGUGUAAUUCAAAUACCCCCCCCCCAAUAAAUAAUAGGAUUCCA